GCUUGUCUCAAAGAUUAAGCCAUGCAUGUCUAAGUAUAACUCUUUUACUUUGAAAACUGCGAACGGCUCAUUAUAUCAGUUAUAGUUUCUUUGAUAGUCCCUUACUACUUGGAUACCCGUAGUAAUUCUAGAGCUAAUACAUGCAUCAAUACCCAACUGUUCGCGGAAGGGUAGUAUUUAUUAGGUAUAGACCAACCCUCCUCGGAGGUGCUUUGGUGAUUCAUAAUAACUAGUCGAAUCGCAUGGCUUUUUGCCGGCGAUGGUUCAUUCGAAUUUCUGCCCUAUCAGCUUUCGACGGUAGUGUAGUGGACUACCGUGGCAUUAACGGGUGACGGAGAAUUAGGGUUCGAUUCCGGAGAGGGAGCCUGAGAAACGGCUACCACAUCCAAGGAAGGCAGCAGG
rnacentral:rRNA from 1 species